rnacentral:rRNA from 1 species
GUACGGGGGGGGCAAGCGUUGUUCGGAAUUACUGGGCGUAAAGGGCUCGUAGGCGGCCAACUAAGUCGGAUGUGAAAUCCCCAGGCUUAACCUGGGAACUGCAUCCGAUACUGGAUGGCUUGAAUCCGGGAGAGGGAUGCAGAAUUCCAGGUGUAGCGGUGAAAUGCGUAGAUAUCUGGAGGAAUACCGGUGGCGAAGGCGGCAUCCUGGACCGGCAUUGACGCUGAGUGAGCGAAAGCCAGGGGAGCAAACGGG